rnacentral:rRNA from 1 species
AGUGAACGCUGGCGGUAGGCCUAACACAUGCAAGUCGAACGGCAGCACAGUAAGAGCUUGCUCUUACGGGUGGCGAGUGGCGGACGGGUGAGGAAUACAUCGGAAUCUACUUUUUCGUGGGGGAUAACGUAGGGAAACUUACGCUAAUACCGCAUACGACCUACGGGUGAAAGCAGGGGAUCUUUGGACCUUGCGCGAGUGAAUGAGCCGAUGUCGGAUUAGCUAGGUGGCGGGGUAAAGGCGCACCAAGGCGACGAUCCGUAGCUGGUCUGAGAGGAUGUUCAGCCACACUGGAACUGAGACACGGUCCAGAGUCCUACGGGAGGCAGCAGUGCGGAAUAUUGGACGAUGGGCGCAAUCCUGCUCCAGCCAUACCGCGUGGGUGAAGAAGGCCCUCGGGUUGUAAAGCCCUUUUGUUGUGAUAGAAAAGCAGCAGGUUAAUCCCCCGCUUUUCUGACGGUACCCAGAUAAUAAGCACCGGCUAACUUCGUG